GAGCUCUGCUGACCCAGGCACUGAAAAAUCAAAGCUUCCGGGUUCCCCAUGUCGUCACGUCAUUCAUCAACUAUGGAAGGAGUUCUCGUUUCCUAGGCAGGCAGCCUUUCUGUGUCAGUGACAUUAUGCAAGGCGCCGGAGUGCUGAAACAUGGCCAUGCGUUCGUGUGAUACACAAUACAACGCAGUUUCCUAUCAGAAAUACAGAUUCUCUCCUCCUGAAAAUCUCCAAAAGGUCAUCUUCUCCUACCUGGAAGAAAAGAAAUUGGCGCCCAUGCGGCUGGCGGUGGACGUGGGCUGCGGGUCAGGACAAAGCACUUGCAUCCUUGCAGCUCGUUUUGAGGAGGUGGUGGGAACGGACAUCAGCGAGGCCCAGAUCCAGGCAGCCAAAGAAACGGCCUCCUUCCCAAACGUGUCCUACCGUGUGUGCCCUGCAGAGGAGCUGCCAUUUGAGGACGGCUCUGUGGACCUCGUUACGGCUUUUACAGCCGCCCACUGGUUUGACAUCCCGCGGUUCAUGAAAGAAGUGGAUCGAGUUCUCAGACCACACGGCUCUGUGGCCCUUAGCACCUACUCUCCCAACUUCAGCAUGCACUACAAAGACUGCUCGGAAAGACUCACAGAAAUCUUAACGGAGACCCAGGGCGUGCUUUUAAAAUAUGCAAAUGAAAAAGUAAAUCGUGUCAUUGGGGACUACAAAGAGGUGUUUGACUUGUUGCCUUUCCAGGACAAGCGGAGAUCCACAUAUUGAUCUAGCUGAAUAUGGGACUGCAGGAAGAACAACCAAGAAAGAUACACAAGAACGACAUCCAAACACCAAGAAAGAAAUGGUGAACCGGAGCCAUUGGGAGCCGUGAGGCUCCGUGGCUAUAGACCCAUUAGAGUCUCCGUCAACUCAGCAUUGGAAUAUCUGGACUGCAUCAUUCUAAUUGAUUGCCAGAGAGCCAGGAGCGCACUGGCCAUCGAAAUAGGCCCGGAAAUGGGUUGAGAACGGCCCUCCCCAGGAUGUCACCACUGCGUGCCCCUCAAGCCCCGCCCCCUGCGUCAUGUCCGGCACAGGCGGCAGGUCGGGCUCUGCUUGCAGCAUACAGCAUGGACAUGGAGCUGCUCAGAGUGAGGGGCAACGACCUGCGGACACGACGGCCCACCGGGAAAUUCCCGGUAUUCUACCAGGCUAGUCCACCCCUGCAGGCAGCUCACUUGAGUCUCAGUGUUUUUACCUGGGGUCCCAUAUUCAGCAUAAGGAAAUAUGGUCUCCCCACCUAAAAGUUCGAACUCAGCAUGAGUUCUGGGCCAAGAGCUGGUUCCCGUUUGGACUGAAGCGGUUUGCCUGUCCCAACAAAUGAUCUACCAAACUCAGCAUUGCUCUAGCAGUGUAAAGCGAUCUCGGCAGAAGUGAGCUUGUGGGAAAGCUAUAUUCCCUUAAAACAGCUGCAGUUGGAGUACACUGCCAUUGAAAGGGCUAGUGGAGGAAGAGAUAAUUGACGUGUCUCUUUAUGUUUUGUUCCCAUGUCUCCCCUGUACUCAGCCAAGUCUUCCUUUCAUGUCAAUGAAUUUCAUAUUUGCAUUUAGUUAAAUGCGUUCAGAUUUCAAGGGUACUUUCAACUCCUAGAAAGUCACAUGCUUCCCCAGGGAUGUGUAAUCUCCCAAUGAGAGGAAUAAAAAAAAUCCAUCCAUCAUUCCCGACCGACUUACCGGAGAUGACAGCUUCCCAGAAAUCGCUGAAAUUCAUGUGCAGCGGAGGCAUGUCGGCCGGCCCUCCAAAAGAAAGGAGAACUUUUGCAUAAGGAAUGUGUGGUCACUGUGGGAAAGCUUUGCGGUUCCACAUCUGUAAGGGACUGAUACAGCCGAGAGAGAGGGACAGAAUAACAAUCAGGAUCCUUUUUCUCUCAUAUCUGCUUGGAUGCUCCUGGGGAAAGCUACCAGCCAUACGAAAUAAGAUCCCCGGAUACCUUGGUGCCCCUUUUGGAAGGGACAUUGACAUAUGGUCUCACAAUCUGCUUGAGGUUUCAUACGGGGGAAACCGAAGCCACAAGGAUUGAGGUCCCAGGCAUUGGCUGGAAUCACCCUAGAUACGGAUUUUGGACUAUAACUGUGGCCUAAAGUUUAAGAGAACUUCUGCAAUGACAGACGCACCAUCUGUGUGUGUCUGAGUCUCAAGAACUGGACUCAUGUCUGUAUGUAUACUGAUCUUUAACCAGCACUCUCUUUUCUUUGUAUUGAUACAUUUUAGUUCAGUUAUUAAGAAUUAGCUCUAAGUGUGUAUUUGGGAGAAUGUCUGAAAUAUGACCUGGAAUGCAGUGGCGUAACGAGGGGGAGACUGGGAGGGGCAGUUGCUGCAGGCGCCAUGCUAGGGGUGGUGCCAAUUUAGUCCCCCUCUGCUUCCCCUGUCAUCCCUUGGCUCUCCUGCUCCUCGUCCGCCCACCACUGGCAGCCGGAGCCUUCCCUUCCGCCCCCAGCCCGACUCUCCUCCAUCUCCACUGGUGGGUUAGUGCGUGCGGGGGACUGGCCCCAAAUUGGAGGGGGUGGGGAAAGACAUGGUA